CGACCGUACCGCAAACCGACACUGGUGCGCGAGAUGAGUAUUCUCAGGCGCUUGAGAGAACUCGGGAGAAGGAACUUGGCAAAUUGACACCGUAACUUCGGAAGAAGGUGUGCCUUUAGUAGGUGAAGUCCCUCGCGGAUGGAGCCCAAUGAGGUUGCAAAGAAUCGGUGGCUGCGACUGUUUAAUAAAAACACAGCACUCUGCAAACACGAAAGUGGACGUAUAGGGUGUGACGCCUGCCCGGUGCUGGAAGAUUAAGUGAUGGGGUGCAAGCUCUUGAUCGAAGUCCCAGUAAACGGCGGCCGUAACGAUAACGGUCCUAAGGUAGCGAAAUUCCUUGUCGGGUAAGUUCCGACCUGCACGAAUGGCGUAACGAUGGCCACACUGUCUCCUCCCGAGACUCAGCGAAGUUGAAAUGUUUGUGAUGAUGCAAUCUCCCCGCGGAAAGACGGAAAGACCCCAUGAACCUUUACUGUAGCUUUGUAUUGGACUUUGAACGGAUCUGUGUAGGAUAGGUGGGAGGCUUUGAAGCCGGGUCGCUAGAUCUGGUGGAGCCAACGUUGAAAUACCACCCUGGUGCGUUUGAGGUUCUAACCUAGGCCCGUUAUCCGGGCCGGGGACAGUGCAUGGUAGGCAGUUUGACUGGGGCGGUCUCCUCCCAAAGCGUAACGGAGGAGUUCGAAGGUACGCUAGUUACGGUCGGACAUCGUGACGAUAGUGCAAUGGCAUAAGCGUGCUUAACUGCGAGACUGACAAGUCGAGCAGAUGCGAAAGCAGGACAUAGUGAUCCGGUGGUUCUGUAUGGAAGGGCCAUCGCUCAACGGAUAAAAGGUACUCUGGGGAUAACAGGCUGAUACCGCCCAAGAGUUCAUAUCGACGGCGGUGUUUGGCACCUCGAUGUCGGCUCAUCUCAUCCUGGGGCUGUAGCCGGUCCCAAGGGUAUGGCUGUUCGCCAUUUAAAGAGGUACGUGAGCUGGGUUUAAAACGUCGUGAGACAGUUUGGUCCCUAUCUUCCGUGGGCGCUGCAGAUUUGAGGAAGCCUGCUCCUAGUACGAGAGGACCGGAGUGGACGCACCUCUGGUGUACCUGUUGUCACGCCAGUGGCAUUGCAGGGUAGCUAAGUGCGGAAGAGAUAACCGCUGAAAGCAUCUAAGCGGGAAACUCGUUUCAAGAUGAGAUCUGCCGGGGCCUUGAGCCCCCUGAAGAGUCGUUCUAGACCAGGACGUUGAUAGGUCAGGUGUGGAAGCGCAGUAAUGCGUUAAGCUAACUGAUACUAAUUGCUCGUGCGGCUUGACCUA
rnacentral:rRNA from 1 species